UCCCCAAAUACCUGCUCGAUUACAAAUUAAAGCAAAGCAUUUGAAAGAAAUGAAGAUACACAUGUAUCGUAACAGAUACAGAGUCUGUUGUCAGAGUUUGCAAUGCAUUAUUUCGUUUAUCCUCAUUAGCCUAUUAUAUAUUAUACUUUUGUGUGACUAUGUGUGAAGGAACGUAGGAAUAAGGACAGGAAAUAGUCCAUAAGGACUAAACGGUGAAGUGGAGACUGAAAUCCAGGCUGUUCGAUCACUUUCUUUGCGCUUUCUCAGAGGAUGCUAAAAAUGAGGGUUCUCUCUCCCUCGGAAGUAUGAAGGAGUCUACACAAGUCGGCGCCAGACCUUUUAGCAGAAAUAAAGCUCUGUUAAGAGUUCGGGAAGUGGUCGGAGAAAGUGGACGUAGAAUUCCUGCAGGAAGAAGUGGUUGCACAGAAGAGACGGGGCUGAGCGCCAACGUUUAAGUGGCAGGUGAAAGGGGAGGAACCCUGGUCCUCGGCUUCCGCUUUUGUCUGCGCCCCUUCCCGCUUCGGCUCUGCGAGGAUUCCUACGCGCCCCCGCCCUGAGUCCGCCCGUCCGCCUGGGGGCGCCCAAGGCCAAAGGCGUGGGGCGUGGGGCGGGGUGUUGCGGCGCCGCCCGACGUCGUGCCCUCCGCGGCUGCGCAGUUCGCACGUCAAAGCCGGGCUCGGGCCGGGAACGGGGGUUUCGGGGAGCGGCGCGGCCUGGGGAGCGUCUGAAGGUCCGGGAGCCGGGAGAACGCGAAGGCAGCAGCCGGCCCCGCCGCAAAGCCGCAGCCCGAACGAGUGAGCGAGAGCAGCAGCAGUGCGGCGGCCGCCGCGGGAGCCUCUGGGCCGCCGUCCUCCCGCGCAGCCGCCGCCGCCGCCGCAGGAUCCUGUCGCCGGGAGCAGGAGCGGGCGGAAGACAACGGAGGGGCCGAGCGCCCAAGCCGCGCCGCGGGGACCGAGCGAGCAGCCCGAGGCGGCGGCGGCCGCCGAAGACGGGGACGGCGACGACGCGGAGGCGGAGAGGGAGCCGCCCGGCCCAGCCCCAUCUAGAAAAAUACCGGAAGACGUAAAAUUCAUUUUUAAAAGUCAGCAUGAACUCUUAAAAACAUAUUAAAAUAGAAGAAUGACGACCUGCUAAGACAUCAAAAAGAAGAAAACUGUUUCAAUUUCACUUAUCAAAAUAGCCAUGAAAAUUCUCAAUAAAACACCAGCAAAUUUAAUUAGGUAGGACAUUCUCUUAAUUAAAGAAGACAAAGGACUUGUAAUGCUUGGUGUUUACUGUAUGCCUUUGUUCUAAUAUAUUAUCUCAGUUCAUAGUCCUCAAAACUACCAAUGGCAUUUCUCACAAAACCAGAAAAAAAUUUCACAAUUCAUAUGGAAACACAAAAGACCUCGAAUAGCCAAA
rnacentral:lncRNA from 1 species